CUGAGUGAGGGCCUUCGGGCUCGACCUCCAACCCUUUGUGAACACCAACUUGUUGCUUCGGGGGCGACCCCGCCGUUUCGACGGCGAGCGCCCCCGGAGACCAUCAAACACUGCAUCUUGCGUCGGAGUUUAAGUAAAUUAACA
rnacentral:misc_RNA from 1 species